GAUGAACGCUGGCGGCGUGCCUAAUACAUGCAAGUCGAGCGAACGGACGAGAAGCUUGCUUCUCUGAUGUUAGCGGCGGACGGGUGAGUAACAUGUGGAUAACCUACCUAUAAGACUGGGAUAACUUCGGGAAACCGGAGCUAAUACCGGAUGAUAUUUUGAACCGCAUGGUUCAAAAGUGAAAGACGGUCUUGCUGUCACUUAUAGAUGGAUCCGCGCUGCAUUAGCUAGUUGGUAAGGUAACGGCUUACCAAGGCUACGAUGCAUAGCCGACCUGAGAGGGUGAUGGGCCACACUGGAACUGAGACAUGGUGCAGGCUCAUAAGCGACGCAGCAGUAGGGAAUCUUCCACAAAGGGGGAACGCAUAACGGUACUGCACCGAGUGAUUGAUGAAGGUCUUCGGAUCGUAAACAUCUGUUAUUAGGGAAGAACAUUUGUGUAGGUGACUGUGCACAUCUUGCCGGUACCUAAUCAAAAAGCCACGGCUAACUACGUG
rnacentral:rRNA from 1 species